CUCACUUUAGAGAGAAGGACCGCGUUUACACGGAUAACAUAGACCAUCCACAAGGGAGUUGGUAGCAGGAAGCGAAACCUUGAACUCUUCGGGAGUCCCGCCUCCAAAAGAACACCUGGGAGAGCUGCGCAAUUGCAGCAUUAAGUGCUUACUACGCUAGGUAUUGAAGAUUGAGAGAAAUGGCAGACUUUCUUCAAGAAGCUCUUGGGAGUUUGGCAAGUAAAGAGAUGACAAUGCUAUCUGAUCACAUCAAAGAGGUUCUUUUUCUACAUCAGCCCCAUUUUUUCCAGUUCCAGACCAGCAAAUAGUAUAGGGCUUUUUCUUUUUUUAGUGAACAAAAAAGUAGGAGCCUUCAUGCCCAAAGACCUUUUAGAUACGAAUUGACUUAGACAUUUUCCCAUUGAAAUAUUUUUGUAGGUAGUAAUUUUCAUCAUUUACAUCUUAUUUCCAAGUGACUUCAUCAUCUAAGUUCCACCAGAGGUUAUCUUUGAAGAAUUACCAACGAGGAUCAAUCCAUCCAGUCUUGCUUUUUGAGAGUUCUCAUAUUUGUCCUCCACCUGCUGAAUUUGCAGAGUGCGCUAUCUCACACUGAAACCAUUUACCUGAAAUGGCUUUAGUAACCACCAUUCUGUCAAUGUGUAAUUCCUGCAUAUGGACAUUAGUAAAAAUAAUUUCUAAAAAGGUCUAUUUUAUAUAAACUUUUAGAUUUUUCCUUUUUUCUAUAUUCUUUUUAAAAUCACUCAGUAAUCAGAAUAUGGUAAUAUUAACUGGAAUACCUUUCCCUUGAGACAUAAUAGAAAUUUCUUAUUUAACAUA